rnacentral:lncRNA from 1 species
AGAUAUGCAUUUCUUCACAUUUAAUGUCUCUGAAAUCUGGGCAUACCUGAGAAUCACUGAGAUAAAGUAAAUGUUUCUUCACUGCCUCCUUUUACUUGGCCUACAUUGAAAUCCCCCACACUCACUCAGAGGCUUGCUGAACUGGAGGGAGUCUCCGGACUCAGGCCCCUUGAUGGGACAGGCGAUGUCACAUGAUAUCACUGAGGCCCAAAGAAGGGGAACGCUUUUAUGUCUCCUUGUUUUGAAUUAUUUUCAGUGAUCAAGUCCAUCCUCAUCUGUUCCUUUGGCCCUUCUCGUUUUAAAAAGAAGUGAAUCUGCCAGGCACCGCGGCUCACGCCUGUAAUCCCAGCACUUUGGGAGGCUGAGGCAGGUAGAUUGCCUGAGGUCAGGAGUUUGAGACCAGCCUGGCUAACAUGGUGAAACCCCGUCUCUACUAAAGACUGGCAGAAAGGCAGUUAGUUCUUGUCCUUGGAAUUACUGCCUCCAAAGAUAAAUCCAAUAUGUCAACUCAAAAUCAUUUACCUAAAUUACCUCCUUGAUUAACUGUUGGUUUGCCAGCCUGUCUCUCCCACUAGAUGGUGACAGGAACCCUGUCUCAUUCAUCUUUGUAUUCCUCACUUCUAGUACAGAGAAAUGAAGUUACCAAAAAUUGGUGUGGAGCCAGGCUUAAAAAUCAAUCCUUUUUUGAGUAUUUCAUUGUUCCUAUCUUUUUGGCAUUUUAAGGAAGUUUAAAAAUAUUUUUAAGGCCAGGCGCGGUGGCUCACGUCUGUAAUCCCAGUACUUUGAAUCACUUGAGGACAGGAGUUUGAGACCAGCCUGGGCAACAUAAGGAGACUCCGUAUCUGCA